rnacentral:rRNA from 1 species
AUUGAACGCUGGCGGCAGGCCUAACACAUGCAAGUCGAGCGAGCGGCGGACGGGUGAGUAAGGUAUGGGGGUCUGCCCGAUAGAGGGGGAUAACUACUGGAAACGGUGGCUAAUACCGCAUACUGUCAGAUGAACCCAUAUGGGAUGAGCUAGUAGGUGGGGUAACGGCUCACCUAGGCGACGAGCUCUAGCUGGUCUGAGAGGAUGAUCAGCCAAACUGGAACUGAGACACGGCCAAGACUCCUACGGGAGGCAGAAGUGGGGAAUAUUGCACAAUGGGCGCAAGCCGUAUGCAGCACUGCCGCGUGGAUGAAGAAGGCCUUAGGGUUGUAAAGUACUUUCAGCGGGGAGGCGGUACCCGCAGAAGAAGCACCGGCUAACUCCGUGACAGCCGCCGCGGUAAUAC